UGUUGGCAGUGGGGCCCAGCGGGAGGUGUUUGGGUCAUGGAGGUGAAUUCCUCAGGAAUAGAUUAAUGCCCUCCCUGGAGUGGUGGUGAGUGAUUUUUCACUCUGUUAGUUCCACGAAAACUGGCUGUUAAAAAGAACCUGGCACCUCCUGACCCCUUGUUUCCUUUCUUCCCAAGUGAUUCCUGUAUCUUCCACCACAACUGGGAGCAGCUUGACACCCUCAUCAGAUGCAGAUGCCCAGUCUUAACAUUCCAGCCAUCAGAAUCGACUUGCAAAGCCUGCAGGGUCAAGGAGGAGAGCAAGAGGAACCAAGGGGCAGCAUUUCCAUUCACCUUGAUGGUGCAGUUACUAUCAUGUUUCCCUCACUAUGCUGGCUUGGCAAAGGAAGCUCACCAAACCAUGCUUGGAGAAAAGUUAAUAAUGUGAGAAUGUAUUUUGAAAGCCCAAUUAAAGUUCUCAUACAAUGUA